rnacentral:rRNA from 1 species
AUGGCGGAGUCUUUGCCGCCGUCGCCGGUGCCGCAGUCCAGGGCGACGGCGGCGGCGCCCAGGCCCACGCCGUUUGGGCGCACCAUGUCAACGGCCAUCACCGUGGCCAUCAUCGCCUUCUUCUUCCCGCUCUUCUUUUGCGGCUACAUCAACUAG